rnacentral:sRNA from 1 species
GAAGUCCAAAGCCAAGCCCAAUGGCAAGAAGCCUGCUGCGGAGGAGAGGAAAGCCUACCUGGAGCCUGAGCACACCAAGGCCAGGAUCACCGACUUCCAGUUCAAGGAGCUGGUGGUGCUGCCCCGCGAGAUUGACCUUAACGAGUGGCUGGCCAGCAACAGUGCGCGGGGGCCUGGGGGCGGGCCCCUUCCCUCCUCCCUGCUCCUCCUCGAAGCCCCUCCUCAAGGAGGACCCCCAUGGCUGGUGCUCAGCAGCCCCCUGCCGCGAGGGGAGAGUGUGGCCCGUGGACAGGCGGAGCUCACCCAGCCGAGCUCCUGCACCUGUUGCUGGAAGCAGGGGUGGACGGGGUGGCUCGGCUCUGGUGUUUUUCACAUCUGGCUCCUUUUCUCUUCUAGCCACGACGUUUUUCCACCACAUCAACCUGCAGUAUAGCACCAUUUCGGAGUUCUGCACAGGAGAGACGUGUCAGACAAUGGCCGUGUGCAACACACAGUACUACUGGUAUGACGAGCGGGGGAAGAAGGUCAAGUGCACAGCCCCGCAGUACGUUGACUUUGUCAUGAGCUCCGUGCAGAAGCUGGUGACGGAUGAGGACGUGUUCCCC